AGCUCAGAUGCUUUUGUGCUUUUUCAGUUUGGCAAAAGGAUGCGUCAGGAAUGUGCCUCUUGUGCCUGUGAAAAUUGACCUACAUUUGGCCAAGUCACAAGCCUUUGAAAAAGAAUCAGAGAAUCAUAGAAUAUCCUGAGAUGGAAGGGACCCACAAGGAUCAUCGAGUCCAACUCCUGGCUUCACACAGGACCACCCAAAAAAUCAGCCCGUAAGGAUCUUCUCGUGUUCUGGGGAGACAUUCUCAGCUUCUGCUGUUUGGCCACCUUACAGUGAGUAAUGAAUUGGAACAUCCAUGAAAAAAGGAGAAAAAAAGAAUGUAAGCUGCUGUUUUAAGAGGUGGAUUGCUGCUGCAUCCCGGAGAUAUCCGAAUUAUGGUUUUGUGCAUUCACCAUGGUAAGAUACGUAUUUCAAAAGGAGUUUCAGCUUACUGAAGAUUCAGAUUACCUAGAUUUGGGGCAUAAAGACAAAUGACACCAAUCUCCCCUUGAAUGAGUGCUGUUGUUCUGUGAACCAAAUGAGGAAGCAAUCAGCACCAACUCAGAUAAUUAAAAUCUGUUAUAAGGUGUGUAUGCAAAGAGCGUUAAUUAAGGUGGUGCAGCUGACAUUCACUCAAGUAUUUCCUGGAUUUUGAAUACUCAGAUUUGCAAAUUCAUUAGCGUUCUUUUAGCAUCCUUUUUGUGCAUCAAAUUAAUGUUGUAUAUUGUGUGUACAGUGGUAAAAUCUGGAACCUCUGGGCACGUAUUGUAAGGCUUUGCAGCCACAACACUGAAUAGUGGUCAGAAGCCCAAGUUUUUCAGUUACUACUGACUUGGGCCAAAUUUGAGCAAUUAAAAAAACCCUGAGAUGUACGAACAUUGGUUUAGGAACACACACAGCAGUGCGUAGCCCCUGACUUGUCUGUUUAGCCCGUGUGCUUUUCAGAACAGGAGACGUGCUAUCUCUGUACGACUUCCACUCUGCUGCAUUACCACCUUAGGAUUCUCAAUUCGGGAGUGAUAAUUAGUAAAAAUUAGUAAUAGAAAACCUUUUAAAAUCCUUAAGUGCCACUGGUGCAUGUCAGAACUCCCCAGUUGGAUGGUGCAGGCUGUGUUGUUAACGGACAAUGGAGAUUGUCCUUUAAAUGCUCGUGGUUUUGGAGACCUCCGUUCUUCUUCUUCCCACCGAGUGAUUUGGGCAUGCAGUAGUGACCGUGAAAAAUUCUGGCUUCUCUGCGUUUCUUACAGUAUUAGAUAAGCUGCUUGGUUUAGUAACAUUAAACAGCUAAAAUCAUCUCUGGAAACGCUUGAGUGACCAUCGCUCAUCUCCCCAGGCAGCUGGGCAGUCAAGGACAGUCUGGCUGUCUUGUUCUUCAUCCUGCAGUCCCAUCUGAUCGAGCCGGGAGAAGAGGGCGUUCUCAGGUCAGGAAGCUUGUCUGAGGAGCUCACUCCCUGUGGAUGCCUGCCAUCGAUCUUCUGUAGCUGUCUUCAGGUCUCCGGGUGCAGCUCGUCAAAGUCAUUUGCAGGUGUGUGCACGAACUGCGGGAUCAAAACUUUCCACCCCAAUUGAAACAGCAAGACAAGUUGUCUCACGCGCUCAGACAAACUUCGGUUUCAACAGCAGCUUGCUUUCGAUCUCCAGUCUUAAACACAUCAGCCAGAGAUUGUGGCAUCCUCGUGACAAUGCAGAGCGCACCCAGUAUAACAGCAGAAAGGCUGACUACCGUCUCCUUCUGUUCACAAAGAGAGACAACACAGUGAAAAAUGAUUAUAAAAAAUAAAAUAAGCAUAUUUCCAGUGUACCAACUGCUUCUUCAUGGCUCGUGGUACAAAGGCAUCAUCCUCAGCCUAAAUUUUAUUGUGGUGAGAAGGAGGCUGCAGGGGUAUUCCUAUGGAUGUUGUUAAGUUCUUCCUGUUGAAGAACAGCAGGGGAGAAAAACGUUGUUCGAGGGAGUUCCAGCCUGGUGAGCAGGAAACCGUGACACCUGGCAGACUGCUUUCCCCUGUAGCUGUGCCAUUAUGCCCUGCCCAAGGGCAUUCAGCGAAGGUGGAGACGCUGCAACUCCUGGAGAGCGAUUUCCUUGAUGCUCUUCAGCAAGAAAAUGCGAUCGCCAGUUCACAGAGAUCCUAGCUGUGACUACAGCUUACGCUAUUUGUUUCAGUGUUCUCCGGCAGGAAUAUCUACGGAUCAAAUUAUUAACUUUGGAGCGUUAUCCUGUUGGAAUUUCGGUCUGUAAGUUCACAGACAUGGUUCUCCACAAUCACCAGCCAAAGUGAUUUCUUUCUGGCUGCCAGCGCUUCUUGAGCUUUGAAUUUUCCUUCUGCACAUCAGGCUGGAUGCUGUUGUAGCAAGUGCAAGCAGCUCAGCUCCCGUAUCACCCUUAACCCUACCCAGGAUACUCGGAGCAGGCGUUCCUUUGUCUGCAUCCCCUCAGGGCUGCGGGCUGGCAGCUGUGCUCCAAGCACACCUGCCUUACAGGCGAUGGCGUUGGCUUGAACACACCUCACAGCCAGCAGUCUCACAUCAGGAAACAAGUAAAUAACCAAGGGUGGAGCAACCUUGCAGUUCAGCACACCAGAAAGCUGAGACCAAAACUACACAGCUGCCUUUCCCCUGGGGUGUGCUCUAACCCUUAGGCUACAUCGUCUCAGGCUCCUUUUUGGCCUAAUAGUUCCUAAAUUCUUUGUUACACGCGGCAGUAAUUCAGUCGCCCGUUUUGUUACCCUAAUUUUCUCGGGCACUUUCAUGCUUAUUCACAAUUCUCCUUUUGUCUCAGCUUAAGGCAUUGAUCGCUGCGGUGAGCAGUUUUAAGACUUCUCUGCUUGUGCUGCCUCUCUGAUGUGGGUUACUGCCUCACAGAAGAGCUGUCAGAACAAAUGUACGGUGGGGCUCCUACCCGACAACAAAGCCGAGCUCCCAGAUGGCUGAUAAAGAUGCAUCUGAGCCAAGACACUGGAUUUUGAAGAGGAGCAGCCAAAAUGUAGGGACACAUUUCCUUCUGCUGACUUUGCUCGAGGGAUGGGAGCUCCAGCCCUAGGUGACAGCUAACAGCUGCAGAAUGAUAACAUCUCAAGCUGAUGCAGCUGUUGCUAAGUGACUGAGCUAAAUUUAGCAUUUUAAUUUGGCAAAUUUAACAAAUUAAUUUGGUGUGCACGUGUUAAUUUGUUACCUUAACUAUAA